CGUAGCGAAAGCGAGUCUUAAUAGGGCGUUUAGUCGCUGGGUAUAGACCCGAAACCGGGCGAUCUAUCCAUGAGCAGGUUGAAGGUUAGGUAACACUGACUGGAGGACCGAACCCACUCCCGUUGAAAAGGUAGGGGAUGACUUGUGGAUCGGAGUGAAAGGCUAAUCAAGCUCGGAGAUAGCUGGUUCUCCUCGAAAGCUAUUUAGGUAGCGCCUCAUGUAUCACUCUGGGGGGUAGAGCACUGUUUCGGCUAGGGGGUCAUCCCGACUUACCAAACCGAUGCAAACUCCGAAUACCCAGAAGUGCCGAGCAUGGGAGACACACGGCGGGUGCUAACGUCCGUCGUGAAAAGGGAAACAACCCAGACCGCCAGCUAAGGUCCCAAAGUUGUGGUUAAGUGGUAAACGAUGUGGGAAGGCUUAGACAGCUAGGAGGUUGGCUUAGAAGCAGCCACCCUUUAAAGAAAGCGUAAUAGCUCACUAGUCGAGUCGGCCUGCGCGGAAGAUGUAACGGGGCUCAAACCACACACCGAAGCUGCGGGUGUCACGCAAGUGACGCGGUAGAGGAGCGUUCUGUAAGCCUGUGAAGGUGAGUUGAGAAGCUUGCUGGAGGUAUCAGAAGUGCGAAUGCUGACAUGAGUAACGACAAUGGGUGUGAAAAACACCCACGCCGAAAGACCAAGGGUUCCUGCGCAACGUUAAUCGACGCAGGGUUAGUCGGUUCCUAAGGCGAGGCUGAAAAGCGUAGUCGAUGGGAAACAGGUUAAUAUUCCUGUACUUCUGGUUACUGCGAUGGAGGGACGGAGAAGGCUAGGCCAGCUUGGCGUUGGUUGUCCAAGUUUAAGGUGGUAGGCUGAAAUCUUAGGUAAAUCCGGGGUUUCAAGGCCGAGAGCUGAUGACGAGUCGUCUUUUAGAUGACGAAGUGGUUGAUGCCAUGCUUCCAAGAAAAGCUU
rnacentral:rRNA from 1 species